rnacentral:rRNA from 1 species
CUUACCAUGCAGUCGAACGAGACUUCGGUCUAGUGGCGAACGGGUGAGUAACACGUGGGCAACCUGCCCCGAGCUCUGGGAUAACCCCGGGAAACCGGAGCUAAUACCAGAUACGACCCUCGAAGACAUCUUCGUGGGUGGAAAGUUUUUCGGCUCGGGAUGGGCCCGCGGCCUAUCAGCUUGUUGGUGGGGUAACGGCCUACCAAGGCGACGACGGGUAGCCGGCCUGAGAGGGCGACCGGCCACACUGGGACUGAGACACGGCCCAGACUCCUACGGGAGGCAGCAGUGGGGAAUAUUGCGCAAUGGGCGAAAGCCUGACGCAGCGACGCCGCGUGAGGGAUGAAGGCCUUCGGGUUGUAAACCUCUUUCAGCAGGGACGAAGCGAAAGUGACGGUACCUGCAGAAGAAGCACCGGCCAACUACGUGCCAGCAGCCGCGGUAAUACGUAGGGUGCAAGCGUUGUCCGGAAUUAUUGGGCGUAAAGAGCUCGUAGGCGGUCUGUCGCGUCGGCUGUGAAAACCUGGGGCUCAACCCCAGGCCUGCAGUCGAUACGGGCAGACUAGAGUCCGGCAGGGGAGACUGGAAUUCCUGGUGUAGCGGUGAAAUGCGCAGAUAUCAGGAGGAACACCGGUGGCGAAGGCGGGUCUCUGGGCCGGAACUGACGCUGAGGAGCGAAAGCGUGGGGAGCGAACAGGAUUAGAUACCCUGGUAGUCCACGCCGUAAACGUUGGGCGCUAGGUGUGGGGAACCUUCCACGUUCUCCGUGCCGCAGCUAACGCAUAGCGUCCGCUGGGGAGUA